AGUAACGCGUAGGUAAUCUAUCCUUAUAUUUGGGAUAACAGACCGAAAGGUCUGCUAAUACCGGAUACCCUUUUAGAUAUGCGAGUAUUUAGGAGGAAAGGUGGCCUCUUCAUGAAAGCUACCGUAUAGGGAUGAGCCUGCGUACCAUUAGCUAGUAGGUGGGGUAACGGCCCACCUAGGCUACGAUGGUUAGCGGGUCUGAGAGGAUGAUCCGCCACACUGGAACUGGAACACGGACCAG
rnacentral:rRNA from 1 species